GGCAACAGAGUUCGUAACAGACCGAAAUGAUAAAUUGUCAUUCUUGAAGGUGUCUUCAUCGGAUGAAGACCAUUCACGUGCCGUUCUCUCUUCGAGUAAGUCGAAAAAGGAAAACCGAUGGAGAGGACAUUUUGCGUUGACUGACUCCACAUCAUCAUCCAUUUUAUUCAAUAAAUACGACGAUGGAUCACAUCCUGCAACUUACAAAAUGGCCGUUCGAUUUUACAAUAAAGAGGAGGGAAGCACAAGAUCGAACUAUCAAACGCUACCCUUCGCGUAAACUGGGAAAUGUGGGUGGGGAGGUUAAUCGACGACGAUCGUCGAUGGAAAGUGGGGGUGGUGAUUGUAAUAGUCGGUGGUAGUGGUAGUAGUGGUAGCGGUGGUGGUGGUGGUGGUGAAGGUGGCGUCGAGAGCUCCCUAUGACGUCAUAUCUCUGGACUGUGGAAACAACAUCUCGAAAGGAUGGAAGCUCGUCGAGAGGCACGCCGUGUUCCUUCUUUCUAUUCUCGAGGACGUGAUAACGGGCGUGUUAAGUGGUAACCGUGGACGUUUGGUCAGACAUACGAGUUUCACUCACGACGUUAUUGUCGUCGACAACGACGACGACGAAGACAACGAUAACGAAAUAGACGACGAGAAUCAACGAGUCCGUAGGAAGUGACUGUUAAAAAAGACAAAAAAAAAGGGAGAAAAAAUAAAAAUUAAAAAAAAAUAAAUAAAGGAAAAAAAUGGCUCGUCUUUUUGUCACGUUCGUCUGAUAUCGAUAAUCGUCGUUGUUGUUAGCCACUCAUUCACUCACUCAUUCACUCGGCUAACAACCGGCUCGACUCCGUCGUCGCGAAGGAGCCAUCGAGGACAAGCAACAAGCGUUCUCGAGCGGCGCGCGAGACCGGGCAUCGAUUUAGCCGGGAAAACAUGACACUGAGAGACCGACGUCUAAGCUAUCGCUUUUCUACGGAACGCCGUCCUUCUUCUGGACGUACGAUAACGUGCGAAAACCAGCUAGACGGUACGGAUGUACAUAGGAAAGCGAGGGACACGGCACGCCUGUAGAUACCGAUAUGCCGGACUAGAGCAUGAAAUGGACGGACAGCAAGUAGUACGCUAGAGAGAAGAGAAUGAUAAUUAUUAAUAAUUAUAAUUAAAAUUCAAAUUAUAAUUAUAAUUCUAAAAGAAAAGUUUCGAAGGAGAAAGAAGAGAAAAGAUUUAAAAAAUUACAUAGGAAGUAAAUGGAGCAGUGAAAAGAGAGGGUAAAUUAGUUGCGUUCGAUAGAAAGAGAGAGAGAGA